rnacentral:rRNA from 1 species
UACGUAGGAGGCAAGCGUUGUCCGGAAUUACUGGGCGUAAAGCGCGUGUAGGUGGUGGGACAAGUCUGCUGUGAAAGUGCCUGGCUUAACCGGGCGAGGUCGGCGGAAACUGUCCGACUCGAGGACGGUAGAGGGGGGUGGAAUUCCCGGUGUAGUGGUGAAAUGCGUAGAGAUCGGGAGGAAUACCUGUGGCGAAGGCGGCCCCCUGGGCCGGCCCUGACACUGAGACGCGAAGGCGUGGGGAGCGAACGGG